GUCAGCAUGGUGUAAUGGUUUGCACAUUAAACUAGGACCCUGGAGACCAGGGUUUGAAUCCCUGCUCAGCCA